GACGAACGCUGGCGGCGUGCUUAACACAUGCAAGUCGAGCGGUAAGGCCCUUUCGGGGGUACACGAGCGGCGAACGGGUGAGUAACACGUGGGUGACCUGCCCUCAGCUCUGGGAUAAGCCUGGGAAACCGGGUCUAAUACUGGAUAUGACUCCAUGACGCAUGUUGUGGGGUGGAAAGCCUUGUGCGGCUGAGGAUGGGCCCGCGGCCUAUCAGCUUGUUGGUGGGGUGANGGCCUACCAAGGCGACGACGGGUAGCCGGCCUGAGGAGGGCGACCGGCCACACUGGGACUGAGACACGGCCCAGACUCCUACGGGAGGCAGCAGUGGGGAAUCUUGCGCAAUGGGCGAAAGCCUGACGCAGCGACGCCGCGUGAGGGAUGACGGCCU
rnacentral:rRNA from 1 species